rnacentral:rRNA from 1 species
CGCCUCUUGACUAUCAUAAGAGGUCCAGCCUGCCCAGUGACUACAAUUUAACGGCCGCGGUACCCUAACCGUGCGAAGGUAGCAUAAUCACUUGUUUCCUAAAUAGAGACUAGUAUCAACGGCAUCACGAGGACUAUACUGUCUCCCCCCUAAAAUCAAUGAAACUAAUCCCCUCGUGAAGAAGCGAGGAUAUAAUUAUAAGACGAGAAGACCCCAUGGAGCUUUAAACGAACUUCAAUUGCUCCCCACUACACCACAUAAAAUGAGCAUCAAUGAUAGCUAGUUUUCGGUUGGGGUGACCGCGGAGUAAAAUAAAACCUCCACAAUGAAUGUAAUAAAAUACUAAUAAAAAAACUACAGUUUUAAUAAUCAAAAAAUUGACAUUAAUUGACCCAAACACUUGAUCAAUGAACCAAGUUACCCUGGGGAUAACAGCGCAAUCCAUUUUAAGAGCCCCUAUCGACAAAUGGGUUUACGACCUCGAUGUUGGAUCAGGGUGUCCCAGUGGUGCAGCCGCUACUAAUGGUUCGUUUGUUCAACGAUUAAAAC